GAGACAAUAAGGCGGCAGCCCCGGGAUAGAGCCCAAAGCCUCGAGCUUUGCUGAAUCGGAUGGGGAAGGAACGGCGGGGCAAAACCACCUUUCCUCACUACACGUGUUUCACUGGCAUCAAUUUCACAGCUGCUUGAGGCCCAGCUUCUCCUCCUCAGCUCAGAGAACCCGAGUUGCAGCACAGGUUGAAACUGGCACCUGUCAAGGAGCAAUGUCAUCCUCUCGUUCUCCCUGGCACCUGGUGUUAAAAGAAGCCAGACAGGCGGGAGUCCACGGAAGGAUCUGAACAUGUCUGCCCUGUUGCUGAAACCCAAAUCCCUGAUGAUCAGGGACAAGCCACACGUCUUCGUGAAGCCAUGCCUUUUAAGACCCUAAAAGAGUUCAAACAAGCGACUGCUCCCUAUGGACCGCAGCCCCCUUUACCUUACGUUCAAUAGAACUUACAGCACAGCGGGUUAGGACCCCAAAGGGUUGGAAGAGAAUAAAGUGUGUUUAAGCAGGGGCGUUAUAUACUGUGGAAGGAAAAUGUUUUGAAUUGUGCAUGAAUCAGGCCAUUUGCAGUGCUGCUCACAACACAGCCAGUACAGAAGACAUGUUAGCCAGAGAAGGUGCUUUUGCUGUCACAAAUAAUCAAGUUACUUUUUGGUACUGGGAAUUGAACUCACGACCUUGUGCUUGCCAGGCAGGCACUUAUGCUGCCGAGCUAUAUCCACGGUCCUUAAAUGACUUUUAAGCUACAAAGAUAUGAACAAAUUAAAAUACCUGCCAUAAGGGCGGUAGGUAACUUCCUUCAAAGGAAGGAUCUGACCUCCAUUCUGGAGUCCCGAUGAAACUUCUCAGGAUUUUGUGGCACACCUACAGCAGGCUGGUGAGAGGAUUACCAACAGCUCUGAGGCUGACAAAGUAAUUGUUCAACUCUUGGCCUUUGAAAGUGCAAGCGUGUAAAGGGGGCUUUAGGAGUCGGGGAAAGUCAGUCGGGCAGCGCUGUCUGCGAUGACCCAGGUCUGUGCAGACGUGGGCCCCUCACAGGGGCCCUAGCAGAGCUGGCACUCGGGCUGUUCGUCCAUGGCCCAGAGGAAAGGGAGGGGACAAGGUUGCUUCUGUCAGCUGUGGGACUGGGGGACAUUUUUCCCAAAAUUGCUCUGCUGCAACCAGGCAGGACAACACAGCCACUAUCCAUCCCUUCAGGAACCCUUCUAGGAGCUGUACAAUGCAUAGACGAGGUAAAUCGGGCAAGAGAUGCAGUUCAAAAUGGAUGUGGACGGCUGGCCCAUUCCAGGAAACUCCCAGUAGGGCUGCUGUGCCCCCACCAAACAGUGGGGCGCUUUCCCUAACGCCUCACCAGCCCCACCCUCCACCGCCAGCACAUUUCUGAGCCCUGGCAAGUGAUAAAAGACAGCAGAGGCUUAGACCUCAUCCCCGCUCCAGAUUCAUACCAACUCUGCAUUGGGACCCCAGGCUGCUCCUCCUGGAGUCUGUGGACCUUUCCCUCAGGGAACAGUGGGGCUCCGGCUAGGCCACAGUGGUUUUACUUUAAAGGCCUCCAGUUUUGCCUGGUGUCCCUGAUGCUGAUUAUACAGAAUACAGGUUAGGGAUCGAGCUGUCCAACACUGCAGUCACCCCAGUAUCUCAUAUUGCUCAACUGGUCAUUCUUCUUUUGACAAAAAUGUAAAAUCUAUAAAUAAGGACAGGGGAUCCAAGGGCUUUGGGUCUUUGGAUGCUUAUUGGGUUCAACAGAUUAAACAGGAUCAUCCCAAGGUGGAACUGAUUAUUGAAGGAAAAUCGUUUAAAGGCUUGAGACAGGCACAGAGGGUCCAGUCACUGCCUAAGGCCAGUGGCCCACAGCAUGGCCCCUGGAGGUGGCAACUACAAAUCUACAGGGGGCGGGCAGUGUUUCUCAGCCUAGCAGAAGUGCUAGAUUGUUAACCCCAGGGAUGCAGAAGGUCAUUCUGGACAUUUUUUGCCUUAUGUCCUCCUGUACGUAUACAGGUACUUAUAAGUAUACUGGUCACUCUAUGGGGUCGUGACGUAUCACAGGGUAUAGUUGUACUCUUUGGUGACCCAUCAGAUGCUACAGCUAGGUUUCCUUCCCACCCAAGAGCUUGGUGAAACCAAGCAGGGAAGCAGAGGACCUCUUCCAGUUCUCACUUAGCAGUAUAUGCUAUUAACUUUUUAAAUCUUGCUGGGGAUGGGGCUACAGCAGCUGAAAGACAAUUCGAUCAGGUAAAGGAAAUAAGUAAGAAGUGUCCUUCAGAAAGACCUUUCCUGAGGGACAAUGGAAGGGACCUAGCCAGUGCUAAUUUUUGGGUGGAGGCUUUGCUUGUGUCUUUCCAGAAAACGCUGUGUGGCCUGGGUGCAGAGUGUGCUGUCCAACUGCGUCGUGGGCCCAGACCCAGAGAAAGAGUGGGUCCCUCCUGCUGUCGAGAAGCUGAUGCUCCGUCCCAUGGCGGUGAUGCCUUGGGGACUGUGCCACAGCUGAUAGACAAAGAUGGAACCAGACCUGACCCGGGACCAGUUAAAGAAACUGACCCAAGAUGCCCAGGAGAUGUAGUCAGAAAUGGGAAAAGAGGAUCUGAGUGGGUGACAGAGUGCAGAGAGACAGCUGAGCUGGAGGAUGCAUAAAAAAGGGACAUGAAAAUUGCCAGUAUUAAGACAAAUUAAGAUAUAAAAUUGUAUAUUAUUUACAGAUAAAAGGUUUUGUUACUUCCAAA